CUCGCUGGUGAGAUCCUGUGCAGGGAAGACAGUCUUACUCCUCCGGGAGUGACAGUCAAAGGAGCAGCAGCUCCCUCCGCCCCUCCCUCGCCCGCAAUGGGGCAACCACACCUGCCUCUGCCCUUCACCCUCCGCCUUUCCCCCUAAAUUUAUUUCUGCCUUGGCCGGUUGCGCCCUCGCCCGCCUCCCCGCCGCCUCCGAGGAGACCCUGCGCCCAGCACGGCAGCUGCCCAGGCUUGGGGACUCGGGAGCCCCCCGGUUGGGAGUCCUAGACAAGGACAACUGUGACUUGAGAGAAGUACUUAAGCGAAAUGAACUGGACUCCUUGGCAGGUUUGGAAUAAGCACACACAACCUUUUUACUGGUAAUAUAAACACAGAUAAAUUAAGGAUCUUUGCACUUUUACAAUAUGCAGAGAAUAACGGGUGCUGAAAAACCAGAGAGAGGAGCUGAGGGAAGUCUGGGGGUGGGGGGUUUCUUUUGGGGGGAGGGGGGAGGGGGAAAUGAAUGAGGAUGAUGUAUUUUUGAUAAAUUGUUAUGUUUAAACUCUUAAUAAAAAUAUUCAAAAAAACAACAACAUAGUGUUAUAGAACCAUAGCGGUGUUGGGAUUUUUAUCUCACCAGCUGCUCAGCAAGUAGCACUAUGGUUGUUUAUAUCAUGUGAGCGUCCUGAGAGCGUGAGACAGGAAGUCUCAGUACUGUUGGGGUUCACUUCGGUGUGAGAUGUUGUUCUGUACUGCUGCUGAGGGGACGCGGGUGGCGCUGUGGGUUAAACCACAGAGCCUAGGACUUGCCGGUCAGAAGGUUGGCAGUUUGAAUCCCUGCAAUGGGGUGAGCUCCUGUUUUUCGGUCCCAGCUCCUGCCAACCUAGCAGUUCAAAAGCAUAAAGUGCAAGUAGAUAAAUAGGUCCCGCUCCGGCGGGAAGGUAAACGGCAUUUCCGUGUGUUGAUCUGGUUCGCCAGAAGCAGCUUAGUCCUGCUGGCCACAUGACCCGGAAGCUGCACGCCGGCUCCCUCGGCCAAUAAAGAGAGAUGAGCGCCGCAACCCCAGAGUCGGCCACGACUGGACCUAAUGCUCAGGGGUCCCUUUACCUUUACCUUUACUGCUGCUGAGAUCACAGACAUGCUGAUGGAUUCUCUGUAUAUAGACCGUUGAAUAAAGUAGUUUUAAAGCUCCAAUUGUCUCUUUCUUCUGCAAUGAGAUGCCAGAAGACAAGCGUGCUCCUCUCAGGAGGGAAGGGUCGCUUAUCACCAGUCUCUCUGGACUGAGGAAGAUUUAUAGCCAGAGAGUGACCACCGGAGAAACGCCCCAGUGUCUUGGGAAGGUGGUGGCCUUCCCGGGCGUUUUUCCAACAAGAGGUGGAAGGGACCCCCAGGGGUUAUCCAGCUCAACCCCCCCCCCCCUGCAAUGCAGGAAUCUCCAUUGCAGCAUGGAAGAGAGACUGGCACCUGACCCCUGCUGAAAACCCUCCAAGGAAUGGAAAGCCCACACCCUUGACUGGCUCUCGCCACCGGAAACUUCUUCCUGAUGUGACACGUUUUCUUAUUUUCUUCUCAUCAAUUUUAUUUCUAUGCCAACGAGGAGCUUGAGGAGGGCGGUAAGUCGUUUUCCUCCCCACAAAACCAGCCCUGUGAGGGGG
rnacentral:lncRNA from 1 species